ACUCACACACACACACACUCACACUCACACACACACUCACACUCACACACACACUCACACACACACACACUCACACUCACACACACACUCACACACACACACACACUCACUCACACACACACAAUCUCACACACACACACACACACACACACACACUCAGUCCUCUGGAUGUGUAUCAGAUGUAUCCAGUCAGAAUCUGGGUGUAUAAAAUGGUGUGAGUGUUAUAUUGUUCUGUAAUAUUUAGAGUGUUUUCUUUGUUGUGUUUUAGGUUCAGGAGGGGUUCUAGAUAUUUCCAUAGAGAGGUUCCACUUUGCAUUAUCAGCCCAUGCUUCAGUGCUCUGCUAGUGUUUAUAGUCCUGUGAGUUUAACACUUCAUGACUGAGAGCUGCUGCCCAGCAACUUCACCCACAGCAACCAUGACUUUCUUCUCCAUCUUCAUCUGGACUCUCACUCUCUGGAUUCAGGGAUCCAGUGCUCAGGUCACUGUGACUCAAAGUCCAUCAGAAACAACAACUACUUCUGGAACAACAGUUACCAUCAGAUGUAGAACCAACCGUGCAGUCUAUAGCUGGAAUGGGAUGGAUUAUCAAGCCUGGUACCAGCACAAACCCGGAGAAGCUCCUAAACUCCUGAUCUUUGAUGGCAACAGGAAACCAUCAGGUGCUCCAGAUCGUUUCAGUGGUAGUGGAUCUGGAUCUGACUUCACUCUGAUCAUCAGUAACAUCCAGCCUGAAGAUGCAGCAGAUUAUCAUUGUCAUUGUGUUCAUCAGAUGAAUAGCCUGGGUCCGUACACACAGUGUAACAGAGCUGUACAAAAACCCCCUCACUCACACACUGCACCGCUGCAGCUGCACCUACUGCAGGCAGGGGGCGCCACAACCCACCUCAGACCCUUCCAGCAGAAUCCUGUGAGUGUGGAACUUUCUGGACUCAUUAAACUGUUCAUCUUCUACUAUUUUUAUUAUUCAUAAUGAACACAGAACCGGUGUUUUUCUCUCAGAUCCAGGAGUGUUUGGUGUUACAGGUUGUGUGAUUGGUUCAUUAUCUCAGGUGACUACUUUUUUUUUAUUUUAUCACCUUCAUGGCCGAGAAAACUGCAGGUGAAAUUCUGUGACUCUACAAAAGCCCUACUAAAAAGAGAAUAUAUGCACAUUUAGUACAGCACAACUAAUUCUAAUCAAUAAAUAAAUAUAAUGUUUUAAAAGAAACCCAGAAAUAAUACCCCACUCCCUAUAAUAUACUGUAAUAACUAAUAAGUUCACUUACUCAACUCAAAAUUUUGUUGUAAACGAUUACCUAAGAAAAUUUAAGUUCAUGUAAUAUAUGUUUAAGUGCAGUUAACUUUGUAAUAAAUAAUAUAUAUAUAUACAUUAAACUUAUAUAUUUUAUUUACAAAUGUAUUUUUCUGAAGUUCUAUAUACUACAUUAGUUUUAGUAAAAAUUACUUAACUAAUAUAGUUUCCACCAACCUAACCAGUACAUUAAAUAUAUGAUAGUAAAUUAUUUCUCUUUUUUUAUUAUUUCAAUUGCUUUGCAUAGUAAUGGUACUUUGAAUGCGAUGGUCA